rnacentral:rRNA from 1 species
GGGUGCAAGCGUUAUCCGGAUUCACUGGGUUUAAAGGGUGCGUAGGUGGGUCUGUAAGUCAGUGGUGAAAUCUCCGGGCUUAACCCGGAAACUGCCAUUGAUACUAUAGGUCUUGAAUUAUCUGGAGGUCAGCGGAAUAUGUCAUGUAGCGGUGAAAUGCUUAGAUAUGACAUAGAACACCAAUUGCGAAGGCAGCUGGCUACAGGUAUAUUGACACUGAGGCACGAAAGCGUGGGGAUCAAACAGG